GAUUAACGCUAGCGGCAGGCCUAAUACAUGCAAGUCGAACGGCAGCGGGUCCAGCAAUGGAUGCCGGCGAGUGGCGUACGGGUGCGUAACGCGUAUGCAACCUACCUUUAACUGGAGGAUAGCCCCGAGAAAUCGGGAUUAAUACUCCAUAAAAUUAUGAAGUGGCAUCUCUUUAUAAUUAAAGCUCCGGCGGUUUUAGAUGGGCAUGCGUGACAUUAGCUUGUUGGUGAGGUAACGGCGCACCAAGGCGACGAUGUCUAGGGGUUCUGAGAGGAUUUUCCCCCACCCUAGUAAUGGUACACGGACCAGACUCCAACGGGAGGCAGCAGUAAGGAAUAUUGGGCAAUGGGCGCAAGCCGGACCCAGCCAUGCCGCGUGAAGGAUGACGGCCCUAUGGGUUAUAAACUUCUUUUGUACGGGAAAAAACCCCCGGUCGUGAACCGGGGUUGAUGGUACCGUAAGAAUAAGCAUCGGCUAACUCCGUGCCAGCAGCCGCAGUAA
rnacentral:rRNA from 1 species